rnacentral:rRNA from 1 species
UACGAAGGGGGCUAGCGUUGCUCGGAAUCACUGGGCGUAAAGCGCACGUAGGCGGCUUACUAAGUCAGGGGUGAAAUCCUGGAGCUCAACUCCAGAACUGCCUUUGAUACUGGUGAGCUUGAGUCCGGAAGAGGUGAGUGGAACUGCGAGUGUAGAGGUGAAAUUCGUAGAUAUUCGCAAGAACACCAGUGGCGAAGGCGGCUCACUGGUCCGGUACUGACGCUGAGGUGCGAAAGCGUGGGGAGCAAACAGGGAUUAAGAAACCCUGAG